GAUGAAGAACGUAGCGAAAUGCGAUACGUAAUGUGAAUUGUAGAAUUCGGUGAAUCAUCGAGUCUUUGAACGCACAUUGCGCCCUCUGGUAUUCCGGAGGGCAUGCCUGUCCGAGCGUCAUUGCUGCCCUCAAGCACGGCUUGUGUGUUGGGCUCCGUCCCCCGAUCCCGGGGGACGGGCCCGAAAGGCAGCGGCGGCACCGCGUCCGGUCCUCGAGCGUAUGGGGCUUUGUCACCCGCUCUGUAGGCCCGGCCGGCGCUUGCCGAUCAACCAAAUUUUUAUCCAGGUUGACCUCGGAUCAGGUAGGGAUACCCGCUGAACUUAAGCAUAUCAAUAAGCGGAGGA
rnacentral:misc_RNA from 1 species